rnacentral:rRNA from 1 species
AUGAUGUUGACGUAAUUAACAUCAAUUUUGGUGGUCAUAAAAUGGCGGGAGGAAUGUAGCUUCGAUCUUGUAUUGAAGUGUUAUAGCCUUCGGUAGAUGUGACGAUCGGGAUUGAGGAUUGCAACGGAUACCCUUCGGGGCUACCUGUCUGAUCUCUGAUUGUUGCUCUGGUACCGAAAGCUUGCUUACGGUUAUCAAAGUCGAUGGUCAAUAGGUUAGAACGGGUUAAAUUCGUUAAGGAUGUUGACGUAA